AUUGAACGCUGGCGGCAGGCCUAACACAUGCAAGUCGAACGAGUGGCGGACGGGUGAGUAAUGUCUGGGAAACUGCCUGAUGGAGGGGGAUAACUACUGGAAACGGUAGCUAAUACCGCAUACCAUCGGAUGUGCCCAGAUGGGAUUAGCUUGUAGGUGAGGUAACGGAUCACCUAGGCGACGAUCCCUAGCUGGUCUGAGAGGAGGACCAGCCACAUGGGAACGGAGACACGGUCCAGACGACUACGGGAGGAAGAAGUGGGGAAUAUUGCACAAUGGGCGCAAGCCUGAUGCAGCCAUGCCGCGUGUAUGAAGAAGGCCUUCGGGUUGUAAAGGACUUUCAGCGGGGAGGCGUUACCCGCAGAAGAAGCACCGGCUAACUCCGUGCCAGCAGCCGCGGUAAUAC
rnacentral:rRNA from 1 species